rnacentral:lncRNA from 1 species
AAACAGCAUCCUCACGUGGGUGGCCUGAAGAGUCCACUGCCUGGCACAUCUAGCUCUUAAAGACAUCCUCUCCUCUUCUUAAAAAGAAGAGAAAGUCUGACCAGGAGAUAAAAACCACCAACACCACCCCCAGAAACCCCACCUAUUACCAGUAACCCCCCAUCCCUGGGUCUCCCAAUGCACUUGGGUCUUGGAAGGGACCAGGUGUCUGGUGGCAGAGGUGCCAUUUCAAAGUCAAAUUAGGAACAUCCAAUGGCCCUACUAGAUGGCCAAGGGACUGAAUGUGAAACCAGAAUUGGGUCAGGAACACUGAAGUUCUGAGGGCUGCUCUUGCCCCAGCACCCCACGCCCUAGGUUCGAUAAGUUUGCAUAAAAACAAGACACACGAGUGAUUAUUUACCACCAGCAAGCGAUCAUCAAAUCAUGUCUAUGUUUUAAACUUAACUAGCUGUCUCAUCUGGUCUCAUGUUCCUGGAAUGUAGUUUCAAGGAUCCCCAAUCUGCCCUCUGAAGGCCUUGCCCCGUCAUGCCUCUAGGGGCAGGAGGCCCAUACUUCCAUGUCUUCUGACCCCCAUGGUGGUGCAGGGUGUGCUGUCCUC